AAUUGGAGGGCAAGUCUGGUGCCAGCAGCCGCGGUAAUUCCAGCUCCAAUAGCGUAUAUUAAAGUUGUUGCAGUUAAAAAGCUCGUAGUUGAAUUUCGGGAUCAGUACGUCGGUCGUGCCUUCGGUAUGCACUGGUGUCACUGGUUCCUCCCUUCUGACGAACCGUCAUGCCAUUAAUUUGGUGUGGCGGGAAAUCAGGACUGUUACUUUGAAAAAAUUAGAGUGUUUAAAGCAGGCUCACGCUUGAAUACAUUAGCAUGGAAUAAUGAAAUAGGACGUUGAUCUUAUUUUGUUGGUUUCUAGGAUUGACGUAAUGAUUAAUAGGGAUAGUUGGGGGCAUUAGUAUUCAAUUGUCAGAGGUGAAAUUCUUGGAUUUAUUGAAGACUAACUACUGCGAAAGCAUUUGCCAAGGAUGUUUUCAUUAAUCAAGAACGAAAGUUAGGGGAUCGAAGACGAUCAGAUACCGUCGUAGUCUUAACCAUAAACUAUGCCGACUAGGAAUCAGACGAUGUUAAUUUUUUAAUGACUCGUUUGGCACCUUACGGGAAACCAAAGUGU
rnacentral:rRNA from 1 species